UACGUAGGGUGCGAGCGUUAAUCGGAAUUACUGGGCGUAAAGCGUGCGCAGGCGGUUUUGUAAGUCAGAUGUGAAAUCCCCGGGCUUAACCUGGGAAUGGCAUUUGGGACUGCAAGGCUCGAGUGCGGCAGAGGAGACUGGAAUUCCUGGUGUAGCAGUGAAAUGCGCAGAUAUCAGGAGGAACACCGGUGGCGAAGGCGGGUCUCUGGGCCGAUACUGACGCUGAGGAGCGAAAGCGUGGGGAGCAAACAGG
rnacentral:rRNA from 1 species